rnacentral:rRNA from 1 species
CUGAUCAGGUAGUGACGGUAUCCAACCAGAAAGCCACGGCUAACUACGUGCCAGCAGCCGCGGUAAUACGUAGGUGGCAAGCGUUAUCCGGAAUUAUUGGGCGUAAAGCGCUCGCAGGCGGUUUUUUAAGUCUGAUGUGAAAGCCCACGGCUCAACCGUGGAGGGUCAUUGGAAACUGGGAGACUUGAGUGCAGAAGAGGAGAGUGGAAUUCCACGUGUAGCGGUGAAAUGCGUAGAGAUGUGGAGGAACACCAGUGGCGAAGGCGACUCUCUGGUCUGUAACUGACGCUGAGGAGCGAAAGCGUGGGGAGCAAACAGGAUUAGAUACCCUGGUAGUCCACGCCGUAAACGAUGAGUGCUAAGUGUUAGAGGGUUUCCGCCCUUUAGUGCUGAAGUUAACGCAUUAAGCACUCCGCCUGGGGAGUACGAUCGCAAGAUUG